CCUACGGGAUGCAGCAGUGGGGAAUAUUGCACAAUGGGCGCAAGCCCGAUGCAGCCAUGCCGCGUGUAUGAAGAAGGCCUUCGGGUUGUAAAGUACUUUCAGCGGGGAGGAAGGCGUUGUGGUUAAUAACCUCAGCGAUUGACGUUACCCGCAGAAGAAGCACCGGCUAACUCCGUGCCAGCAGCCGCGGUAAUACGGAGGGUGCAAGCGUUAAUCGGAAUUACUGGGCGUAAAGCGCACGCAGGCGGUCUGUCAAGUCGGAUGUGAAAUCCCCGGGCUCAACCUGGGAACUGCAUUCGAAACUGGCAGGCUAGAGUCUUGUAGAGGGGGGUAGAAUUCCAGGUGUAGCGGUGAAAUGCGUAGAGAUCUGGAGGAAUACCGGUGGCGGAGGCGGCCCCCUGGACAAAGACUGACGCUCAGGUGCGAAAGCGUGGGGAGCAAACAGGAUUAGAUACCCUCGUAGU
rnacentral:rRNA from 1 species